AUGAAGACAGUGACUGGACCUUUGUUCCUGUGCUUCUGGCUGCAGCUGAACUGUGUGAGCAGAGGCGAGCAGGUGGAGCAGCGCCCUCCUCACCUGAGUGUCCGGGAGGGAGACAGUGCCGUUAUCAUCUGCACCUACACAGACCCUAACAGUUAUUACUUCUUCUGGUACAAGCAAGAGCCGGGGGCAGGUCUUCAGUUGCUUAUGAAGGUUUUCUCAAGUACGGAAAUAAACGAAGGACAAGGAUUCACUGUCCUACUGAACAAGAAAGACAAACAACUCUCUCUGAACCUCACAGCUGCCCAUCCUGGGGACUCAGCCGUGUACUUCUGCGCAGUCAGUG